GGUUCUGUAGUGUAGUGGUAAUCACAUUUACCUAACAUGCAGAAGGUCCUGGGUUUGAUCCCCAGUAAAACCA